GAUGAACGCUGGCGGCGUGCCUAAUACAUGCAAGUCGAGCGAAUGGAUUAAGAGCUUGCUCUUAUGAAGUUAGCGGCGGACGGGUGAGUAACACGUGGGUAACCUGCCCAUAAGACUGGGAUAACUCCGGGAAACCGGGGCUAAUACCGGAUAACAUUUUGAACCGCAUGGUUCGAAAUUGAAAGGCGGCUUCGGCUGUCACUUAUGGAUGGACCCGCGUCGCAUUAGCUAGUUGGUGAGGUAACGGCUCACCAAGGCAACGAUGCGUAGCCGACCUGGGAGGGUGAUCGGCAACACUGGGACUGAGACACGGCCCAGACUCCUACGGGAGGCAGCAGUAGGGAAUCUUCCGCAAUGGACGAAAGUCUGACGGAGCAACGCCGCGUGAGUGAUGAAGGCUUUCGGGUCGUAAAACUCUGUUGUCAGGGAAGAACAAGUGCUAGUUGAAUAAGCUGGCACCUUGACGGUACCUAACCAGAAAGCCACGGCUAACUACGUGCCAGCCGCCGCCAGCG
rnacentral:rRNA from 1 species